GUUAGAUUCGAUUCCGUCAGUCACAUCCCAGUCUGCGUAAUUCUCGAGUUCAUUUUUCUGGGACUUAAUGCAGUAGAGAUCAGACUUUUUCUUCGUUCAUCCAGAUAAGACUUCAUCAAACAUUUAAUGAGAAAACAGGGAUGCAUGGAGUGGGAAGUCCACAGGCUGGAAUGGAAGUGCAUGGUCCUGGCAUAGUGAAGGAAUAGGAAGGAACCCUGCCAAUCGGAGCCGUAGG